rnacentral:rRNA from 1 species
CAGUAGCCACGGUAAUACAGAGGGUGCGAGCGUUAAUCGGAUUUACUGGGCGUAAAGCGUGCGUAGGCGGCUAAUUGAGUCGGAUGUGAAAUCCCCGAGCUUAACUUGGGAAUUGCAUUCGAUACUGGUUAGCUAGAGUGUGGGAGAGGAUGGUAGAAUUCCAGGUGUAGCGGUGAAAUGCGUAGAGAUCUGGAGGAAUACCGAUGGCGAAGGCAGCCAUCUGGCCUAAUACUGACGCUGAGGUACGAAAGCAUGGGGAGCAAACAGGAUUAGAUACCCCCGUAGUCCCUGUCUCUUAUAC